CCUGUGGUCCUACUGUGGCCGGUGCCUGGUCCUGCUACCAUGUCCACCAGCCCCAGAACCCACAUCUGAUUGGCUUUGUUGCCAUGCAAGUACUGGCUGCUCCCUGAUGGCCAGGCAGACCCAGCAGCCGCCGAGGGGCCAGUGAAGAGGAAGGCCGCAUCUGUUGUGUGGUGGUCACAAGCACUCGGGCGUCUGAGUUUACUGGUGCAUGGCUGGGAGGAGCGUUAUGAGAUGAACGUUGGCUAUCAGUCUCCGUGGGCAGGCGGCUUGGCCUCGAGUGGGAAUGGCUGGGAUUUGGGUGUUGCCUUUAGGAGGGAUACCUGCAUGUCUAGUUCCAGUCUGCACUGGGAAGAAUUCAAAUAUGCACCUGGCUCCCUUCACUAUUUUGCUCUAUCCUUUGUGCUCAUUCUUACUGAAAUCUGUCUUGUCAGCUCAGGAAUGGGAAUCCCCAGGGAAGGAAAGCAUUUUUCUGUUCUGGGAGGCCCAGACUGUUCACUUUGGGGCAGGGCCAAACAUGUGCCUCGUGAAUUUGCUUGGAAACCAUCACCGUCUUCUACCCUCAUCACUGUAUAGUGCAAAACUUGAUUAAAGUGGUAUCUGAGAACCAUAAUGAUCG